rnacentral:rRNA from 1 species
GAUGAACGCUGGCGGCGUGCUUAACACAUGCAAGUCGAACGAUGAAGCCCAGCUUGCUGGGUGGAUUAGUGGCGAACGGGUGAGUAACACGUGAGUAACCUGCCCUUAACUCUGGGAUAAGCCUGGGAAACUGGGUCUAAUACCGGAUAGGAGCGCCUACCGCAUGGUGGGUGUUGGAAAGAUUUAUCGGUUUUGGAUGGACUCGCGGCCUAUCAGCUUGUUGGUGAGGUAAUGGCUCACCAAGGCGACGACGGGUAGCCGGCCUGAGAGGGUGACCGGCCACACUGGGCCUGAGACACGGCCCAGACUCCUACGGGAGGCAGCAGUGGGGAAUAUUGCACAAUGGGCGAAAGCCUGAUGCAGCGACGCCGCGUGAGGGAUGACGGCCUUCGGGUUGUAAACCUCUUUCAGUAGGGAAGAAGCGAAAGUGACGGUACCUGCAGAAGAAGCACCGGCUAACUACGUG